rnacentral:rRNA from 1 species
AAACAGAUGCUAAUACCGUAUAACAAUGACAACCGCAUGGUUGUUAUUUAAAAGAUGGUUCUGCUAUCACUAAGAGAUGGUCCCGCGGUGCAUUAGCUAGUUGGUAAGGUAAUGGCUUACCAAGGCGAUGAUGCAUAGCCGAGUUGAGAGACUGAUCGGCCACAAUGGGACUGAGACACGGCCCAUACUCCUACGGGAGGCAGCAGUAGGGAAUCUUCCACAAUGGGCGAAAGCCUGAUGGAGCAACGCCGCGUGUGUGAUGAAGGGUUUCGGCUCGUAAAACACUGUUGUAAGAGAAGAAUGACAUUGAGAGUAACUGUUCAAUGUGUGACGGUAUCUUACCAGAAAGGAACGGCUAAAUACGUGCCAGCAGCCGCGGUAAUACGUAUGUUCCAAGCGUUAUCCGGAUUUAUUGGGCGUAAAGCGAGCGCAGACGGUUAUUUAAGUCUGAAGUGAAAGCCCUCAGCUCAACUGAGGAAUUGCUUUGGAAACUGGAUGACUUGAGUGCAGUAGAGGAAAGUGGAACUCCAUGUGUAGCGGUGAAAUGCGUAGAUAUAUGGAAGAACACCAGUGGCGAAGGCGGCUUUCUGGACUGUAACUGACGUUGAGGCUCGAAAGUGUGGGUAGCAAACAGGAUUAGAUACCCUGGUAGUCCACACCGUAAACGAUGAGUGCUAGGUGUUUGAGGGUUUCCGCCCUUAAGUGCCGCAGCUAACGCAUUAAGCACUCCGCCUGGGGAGUACGACCGCAAGGUUGAAACUCAAAGGAAUUGACGGGGACCCGCACAAGCGGUGGAGCAUGUGGUUUAAUUCGAAGCAACGCGAAGAACCUUACCAGGUCUUGACAUCCCUUGACAACUCCAGAGAUGGAGCGUUCCCUUCGGGGACAAGGUGACAGGUGGUGCAUGGUUGUCGUCAGCUCGUGUCGUGAGAUGUUGGGUUAAGUCCCGCAACGAGCGCAACCCUUAUUACUAGUUGCCAGCAUUCAGUUGGGCACUCUAGUGAGACUGCCGGUGACAAACCGGAGGAAGGUGGGGAUGACGUCAAAUCAUCAUGCCCCUUAUGACCUGGGCUACACACGUGCUACAAUGGCGUAUACAACGAGUUGCCAACCCGCGAGGGUGAGCUAAUCUCUUAAAGUACGUCUCAGUUCGGAUUGUAGGCUGCAACUCGCCUACAUGAAGUCGGAAUCGCUAGUAAUCGCGGAUCAGCACGCCGCGGUGAAUACGUUCCCGGGUCUUGUACACACCGCCCGUCACACCAUGAGAGUUUGUAACACCCAAAGCCGGUGG